UACGAAGGGGGCUAGCGUUGCUCGGAAUUACUGGGCGUAAAGCGCACGUAGGCGGUCUUUUAAGUCGGGGGUGAAAUCCUGGAGCUCAACUCCAGAACUGCCUUCGAUACUGGAAGACUUGAGUCCGGGAGAGGCGAGUGGAACUGCGAGUGUAGAGGUGAAAUUCGUAGAUAUUCGCAAGAACACCAGUGGCGAAGGCGGCUCACUGGCCCGGUACUGACGCUGAGGUGCGAAAGCGUGGGGAGCAAACAGG
rnacentral:rRNA from 1 species